rnacentral:tRNA from 2 species
CCUUCGAUAGCUCAGUUGGUAGAGCGGUGGACUGUAGUGAUCGCUUCUUCCAGAGCACCCAAUAGUGAUCCAUAGGUCGCUGGUUCAAAUCCGGCUCGAAGGA